rnacentral:lncRNA from 1 species
UUCUUCACGAUCCUUAUUAGGAUCUAGUACAAUAUACCUCCGGUGACAGAGUUUAUUCCUGGUUGAACCAUGUUAGAACCGCUACUUUGGUUAAUUGUAGUAUCAGGACUUGACUUCCCCUCUUGUUCCGCUUUCAUUUGAAAAUAUCUAGCCUUAACGCUAGGAUGUAUAUAUAUAUGUUUAACUAAAACUACCUGUUCCGAUACGAUCACCCGUAUACCUAUGAACAAGUUCUUUACCACAAGUUUUACAUUUAGCCCUAUCUUUAUCUCUUAGUUGGAUAAAAAAAUGCCAAACUAAUGAAGUUUUUGUACGUUUCCGAGGUUGUCUACUAAAAGUGGGAGUUUGUACGGGUGGGUGUUCUGGGUCAUUAGGAGCAGGACUAGUAGGUGUAUCAUCUAAAUCUACCGGAGGUUGGGUUUCGUUAUCAUCAUCACCCUCAUUUCCCUCUGAUAUUAGUGCAUUAGGAUAAAGCAAAUUCAUAAUAUCAUCAUCUAUUCUAUCACCGACUGCUAUAUCAUGUAGAAAAUUAACAUUGCUAAAUUGAAAACACUAUCAAGUAUUCCUAAGUUUUCAUUAGUAUUUCUAGGUUGGCUAUUAGUUUGAACUUGUUUAUCUUUUCUAGGUCGGGGAGCCGGGGGAGGGGUAGGAUUUUGGCGACNNN